rnacentral:rRNA from 1 species
AUGCAAGUCGAGCGGUAACAGAGAGGUGCUUGCUCCUUUGCUGACGAGCGGCGGACGGGUGAGUAAUGCUUGGGAACAUGCCUUGAGGUGGGGGACAACAGUUGGAAACGACUGCUAAUACCGCAUAAUGUCUACGGACCAAAGGGGGCUUCGGCUCUCGCCUUUAGAUUGGCCCAAGUGGGAUUAGCUAGUUGGUGAGGUAAUGGCUCACCAAGGCGACGAUCCCUAUCUGGUUUGAGAGGAUGAUCACCCACACUGGGACUGAGACACGGCCCACACUCCUACGGGAGGCAGCAGUGGGGAAUAUUGCACAAUGGGCGCAAGCCUGAUGCACCCAUGCCGCGUGUGUGAAGAAGGCCUUCGGGUUGUAAAGCACUUUCAGUCAGGAGGAAAGGUUAGUAGUUAAUACCUGCUAGCUGUGACGUUACUGACAGAAGAAGCACCGGCUAACUCCGUGCCAGCAGCCGCGGUAAUACGGAGGGUGCGAGCGUUAAUCGGAAUUACUGGGCGUAAAGCGUACGCAGGCGGUUUGUUAAGCGAGAUGUGAAAGCCCCGGGCUCAACCUGGGAACUGCAUUUCAAACUGGCAAACUAGAGUGUGAUAGAGGGUGGUAGAAUUUCAGGUGUAGCGGUGAAAUGCGUAGAGAUCUGAAGGAAUACCGAUGGCGAAGGCAGCCACCUGGGUCAACACUGACGCUCAUGUACGAGAGCGUGGGGAGCAAACAGGAUUAGAUACCCUGGUAGUCCACGCCGUACACGAUGUCUACUAGAAUCUCGGAACCUCGGUUCUGUUUUUCAAAGCUAACGCAUUAAGUACACCGCCUGGGGAGUACGGCCGCAGGUUAAAACUC